UACGUCAAACCUUAUUUCCAUUCUGAAAAAACCGAUCAGUAUCAACCAAAGCACAUUGUUCUUCCCCAAACAAAAUGGUAUCUUCACAUUAAAAAUCUGCAAAUUCCAAAAUUUGAAAUGAAAACAAUGGACAAAGACAUAUCAAACUGGGUCAUGGAGUUUCUCCUUCGAAGCUCCGUUCCCGAUUCCCUCAUCCAUAAAACCCUAACCGUUCUUCCACUCUCCGGCGCCGAUUCUCGUCUCAAAAAAACCCUCCUCCUCCGUACCCUCCAAACUCACCUCCGCACCGCCUCCCUCUCCGAAACCUCUCUCCAAAUCAUCGAAUCCCUCGAGGAGCUUUACCGCAGAGAUGAGAUUCGUGUCUCCGCGGCAAUGCGCAGCGCUUAUUGCGCUGUUGCUGUUGAGUGUACCGUGAAAUAUCUUAUUACUUCCCAUGAGGAUCCGUCCGGGGAGUAUUUUUCCGCUGUUCGACGGAUCUGGCGUGGUCGGGUUGUUCAAUUGUCGGCUGAGGGACAGAGGAGUGAGCUUCUAUCGGACGAGUUGUCGCGGUGGGGAGAGGACAUUGAGGCUGCGCUUUGGGAUGUUAGGGCUUCGGAGAGGCUUGCGGGUUUGAAUACAAGGAGAGAUGCGAUGAAUGAGGUUCAGAGGUUUUUGAAGGAUGCGUGGCAAGUUAUGGGACCUUCGUUUCUUGAUUCGAUGGCGAUGGUCUCUAAAGGGAAUGGUUUACGUCCUGAAGGUGUCUGUGGAAAUGCUUCGGGUAGUGAAAAGUUGAAGAAGAGUGAUGGAAGGUUAGAUAGUUUGGGAAAGGAGAAAAUGUGUUCUGUUGUGGAUGAUAACAAUGAUAAUGAUAAUGUUGAUGAUGGUGGUGGUGAUGAUGAUGAUGACGUGGCAGUGAUGGGUGAAAACCAUGGGAAUGAAAGAUUGGAAGAGAGAGUUGGUACUUCUGUUGAUGCAGAUCAGGAAGUGGGUGGGUGUGAUUCUUCAAAUGUAGAUAAAGAAAUUUGGGAAGGCAAUGUCCGGCUCAAACGCAAGCACUCUGCAUUACGAACAUGCCAUAGGGGAGUUAAAAUCUCUGGUGCUAAGGAAAUGAGGGCAACAAAUUUAUCGAGUAAAUAUAAAAUCUUGCCUAGUCCUGAAGUAGAGAAAGUCCGGGAAUCCCUUAAAUCAAGUUCUAUGGAGUUAAAGGCAUUGGUCAAGGAUCCUCUUCCUGAUGCAUUGCGAUCAUCUGAAGAUGUAAGAUCCAAAUUGGCAACAAAACAUAUAAAUCUUGGGCCACCAAGUGAAAAUCAGAGUGGACCUGUAGAUGUACGGCGUUCAGAUGGAUGCCAAACUAUUGUACUUUAUCAGGCUAAGGCUAAUGAUGCCAAUCUUGCAAAGAAGUCUUCUGUUCCUUGUAGUAAUGAUCGCCGCCCCAACUUUAUGGGGCGGGCAAGUUCUGCUCAUACUUACGAGUGGGAUGAUUCAAUUGAUAACUCACUACAAGCUAGACAGCCAAGAAGGAAGAAAAGGAAAUGGACUUCAUUGGAAGAGGAGACACUAAGGGCUGGUGUAAAAAUGUUUGGAGAAGGAAACUGGCGGACAAUUCGAGACUUUUACAGCAACAUAUUUGAAUAUAGAAGUGGAGUUGAUCUAAAAGACAAGUGGAGAAAUAUGAUGCGGUGACACAGAGGAGUUAUUUAAAUUUCCAUGUGUAUAUAUCUCAGGAAGGUGAUUGGUAUAGGAGCUUUGAUGGAAUCUUCUAGUUUUGUGAUCAUGGAUGACCCACUGUUGAACGGGUUUUGCCAGUUCCUGGUCUCUCUCCUCCUUGUUUUGUUGAAGCACAGUUCAGCUAGUGCUGUUAGUGUGGACCAACUUGUAACCCAAAGUGCCCAUGUAAGGACCCACUCAAACCUCUUCUCCUUCAUCUAUGCGUUCCUGUUUCAAGAGCUUGUUAGACUAAUGUUCAGGUUUUGAUGAUGCAUAUUGCGCACUAAUAAGCUACCUUUUCUAAAACUAGCUUAUAGUAAUUCAGUUGAGAAAAAGAUUUCCUGUUGUAAUGUAUCACCAAUAUUUUUUAUCUUGGUGAAUAAUCUAGAGUUGUGUUAUUUGAACUAGAACAUUAGAGUAGUUUAUACAACUUGAUGCAUUAUAUAGAAAUACAAGCAUAACCUGGUAUUGUUGCGUAGCAUUUGACUAGUGCUGGUAUUGAAGUUUAUACUAGAAAGGUUUAUUGACUA